UAGGGAAUCUUCGGCAAUGGGGGGAACCCUGACCGAGCAACGCCGCGUGAGUGAAGAAGGUUUUCGGAUCGUAAAGCUCUGUUGUAAGAGAAGAACGGGUGUGAGAGUGGAAAGUUCACACUGUGACGGGAUCUUACCAGAAAGGGACGGCUAACUACGAGCCAGCAGCCGCGGUAAUACGUAGGUCCCGAGCGUGGUCCGGAUUUAUUGGGCGUAAAGCGAGCGCAGGCGGUUAGAUAAGUCUGAAGUUAAAGGCUGUGGCUUAACCAUAGUAUGCUUUGGAAACUGUUUAACUUGAGUGCAGAAGGGGAGAGUGGAAUUCCAUGUGUAGCGGUGAAAUGCGUAGAUAUAUGGAGGAACACCGGUGGCGAAAGCGGCUCUCUGGUCUGUAACUGACGCUGAGGCUCGAAAGCGUGGGGAGCAAACA
rnacentral:rRNA from 1 species